GCUUAAAGGGGCCGUAGCCGGACUGGUGUGACCCCUGUGAAAUCCACGGGCUCAACCCGUGGGCGUGCAGGGGUUACUACCAGUCUAGGGGACGGAAGGAGCCGAGGGUAUUCCUGGGGGAGCGGCGAAAUGCUGUAAUCCCAGGAAGACCACCCGAGGCGAAGGCGCUCGGCUAUUCCGUUCCCGACGGUGAUGGCCGAAAGCCGGGGGAUCAAAUAGGAUUAGAGACCCCAGUAGUCCCGGCUGUCAACGCUGCGGGCUACCUGCCGGGAGGGCUAAGAGCCCUCUCGGUGGGACAGGGAAGCCGUUAAGCCCGCCGCCUGGGGAGUACGGCCGCAAGGCUGAAACUUAAAGGAAUAGGCGGGGGGGCACACAAGGGGUGGGGUGUGCGGUUUAAUGGGACCUGACACCGGAAACCUUACCGGGGGCGACAGCAGGAUGAUGGUCGGGCUGAAGACCUUACCGGACGCGCUGAGAGGAGGUACAUGGCCGCCGUCAGCUCGUGCCGUGAGGUGUCCUGUUAAGUCAGGAAACGAGCGCGACCCGCGCCCGCAGUUGCGACGGGAGAGGGUUUCCUCUCCCGGCACACUGCGGGGACUGCCGGGGAAACCCGGAGGAAGGCGCGGGCGACGGCAGGUCCGCAUGCCCCUAA
rnacentral:rRNA from 1 species